rnacentral:misc_RNA from 1 species
GGAAUUGGUUCUCUUACCUUCACAGGCUCCACAAUGGCUGGUCUGGCCAAUGAUUCCUCAACAACAGGAGCAGCAAUCUUGGUGAUUUUGGCUGAAUCCGGGGCAGCUUCUUCAUCAGCUACAUGUUCAUCUUGCUUCUUUGUUCUCAUAAACAGAUAAGCUCCGACAGCAAGGUUGACAGUCAAAAGCAUGGGCCAUAAGAACUUAUAUCGCCUAGCAAAUGAUUCCUUCGGAGGCUGCGGCGCUGAAGGAGAAGAAGACGGGGAUGCCAUGUUCGAUGAUGCUGGUGGCGCCGGUGAAGAAGAAGAAGCGUCUCUGACUUUGUGCUGUUCUUGAAAUUGUUUGACCUGGGCUUUCUUGGGUUUGUUGGCGUAGAGCUUGG